UACGUAGGUGACGAGCGUUGUCCGGAUUUACUGGGCGUAAAGAGCGCGCAGGCGGUCGUAUAAGUCGAGCGUGAAAGCCCCCGGCUCAACUGGGGAGAGUCGUUCGAUACUAUUCGACUCGAAGGCAGGAGAGGGAAGCAGAAUUCCCGGUGUAGUGGUGAAAUGCGUAGAUAUCGGGAGGAAUACCAGUGGCGAAGGCGGCUUCCUGGCCUGUUCUUGACGCUGAGGCGCGAAAGCUAGGGGAGCAAACGGG
rnacentral:rRNA from 1 species